CUACGUGCCAGCAGCCGCGGUCAUACGUAGGGUGCAAGCAUUAUCCGGAGUGACUGGGCGUAAAGAGUUGCGUAGGCGGUUUAAUAAGUGAAUAGUGAAACCUGGUGGCUCAACCAUACAGACUAUUAUUCAAACUGUUAAACUCGAGAAUGGUAGAGGUAACUGGAAUUUCUAGUGUAGGAGUGAAAUCCGUAGAUAUUAGAAGGAACACCGAUGGCGUAGGCAGGUUACUGGGCCAUUUCUGACGCUAAGGCACGAAAGCGUGGGGAGCGAACCGGAUUAGAUACCCUGGUAGUCCACGCCGUAAACGAUGAGUGCUAGGUGUUGGAUCCUUUCCGGGAUUCAGUGCCGCAGCUAACGCAUUAAGCACUCCGCCUGGGGAGUACGACCGCAAGGUUGAAACUCAAAGGAAUUGACGGGGGCCCGCACAAGCGGUGGAGCAUGUGGUUUAAUUCGAAGCAACGCGAAGAACCUUACCAGGUCUUGACAUCCCGAUGCUAUUUCUAGAGAUAGAAAGUUA
rnacentral:rRNA from 1 species